CAGUAGCCACGGUAAUACGGAGGGAGCUAGCGUUGCUCGGAAUCACUGGGCGUAAAGGGUGCGUAGGCGGGUCUUUAAGUCAGGGGUGAAAUCCUGGAGCUCAACUCCAGAACUGCCUUUGAUACUGAAGAUCUUGAGUUCGGGAGAGGUGAGUGGAACUGCGAGUGUAGAGGUGAAAUUCGUAGAUAUUCGCAAGAACACCAGUGGCGAAGGCGGCUCACUGGCCCGAUACUGACGCUGAGGCACGAAAGCGUGGGGAGCAAACAGGAUUAGAUACCCCUGUAGUCCCUGUCUCUUAUAC
rnacentral:rRNA from 1 species